rnacentral:rRNA from 1 species
UCCUAAUUGUUCACGCUUGAAUCGUCAUUACUGGGCGUAACGCGCGCGUAGGUGGUUUGUUAAGUUGGAUGUGAAAGCCCCGGGCUCAACCUGGGAACUGCAUCCAAAACUGGCAAGCUAGAGUAUGGCAGAGGGUGGUGGAAUUUCCUGUGUAGCGGUGAAAUGCGUAGAUAUAGGAAGGAACACCAGUGGCGAAGGCGACCACCUGGGCUAAUACUGACACUGAGGUGCGAAAGCGUGGGGAGCAAACAGGAUGAGAUAACCGGGUAGUCC